AGAGUUUGAUCCUGGCUCAGAACGAACGCUGGCGGUAUGCUUAACACAUGCAAGUCGAACGAAUAAGACCUUAGCUUGCUAAGGACCCUGUUAGUGGCAGACGGGUGAGUAACGCGUGGGAAUCUGCCUGAUAGUACGGGAUAGCAGUUGGAAACGACUGGUAAUACCGUAUAUUCUCUUCGGAGGAAAGAUUUAUCGCUAUCAGAUGAGCCCGCGUUAGAUUAGGUAGUUGGUAGGGUAAUGGCCUACCAAGCCGACGAUCUAUAGCUGGUUUGAGAGGAUGAUCAGCCACACUGGGACUGAGACACGGCCCAGACUCCUACGGGAGGCAGCAGUGGGGAAUAUUGGACAAUGGGCGCAAGCCUGAUCCAGCAAUACCGCGUGAGUGAUGACGGCCUUCGGGUUGUAAAGCUCUUUUAGUGGGGAGGAUAAUGACGUUACCCACAGAAAAAGCACCGGCUAACUUCGUGCCAGCAGCCGCGGUAGUACGAAGGGUGCUAGCGUUGUUCGGAAUUACUGGGCGUAAAGCGCAUGUAGGCGGAUUAUCAAGUUGGGAGUGAAAGCCUGGGGCUCAACCUCAGAAUUGCUCCCAAAACUGGUAAUCUAGAGUUUGAUAGGGGAUGGUGGAAUUCCUAGUGUAGAGGUGAAAUUCGUAGAUAUUAGGAGGAACACCGGGUGGCGAAAGCGACCAUCUGGGUC
rnacentral:rRNA from 1 species